rnacentral:lncRNA from 1 species
ACAGAACAGGCAUCAUCAACAGUAAUCAACACUGUCCCCAACAAGAGUCACAAUAGGUAGGAGCAAUAACAUUGUCCCUAGUAAGAGACUUAACAGGUAUGAGCAACGAUACUGGCACUAGCAAAGGACAUAAUAGUCAGCAGCAAUAACAAUGACAAAUACUUCCAUUAUUGCAAAGACAACUUCUUUUCACUCCCCC